GCGGAGGUUAGACCCGCCCCUUUGCUUGCUUGCUAUUCGCUAGAGUUGUAGCUACGGAACUCGAUCGUCAUCCGUAACCUUUGACGUUGGAGCCGCAGCAGCCAGCUGUUACAAAUCGCGUCACUUCUCGCCAGCUGAUCGGAGACGCCGGCCGAGUGAGAGACGCCCAGAAAAGGACCCAGAAUCGCUUUUCUCUUUAGCGAGGCGGUCGGGCGAGUACUCCGGACUGGCGAGGAUGGAUCCAGUGUGGGACUCUUGGCUAACCUACAUUAGUUCUUCUCUGGCAAACUUUAUGUUCCUAUUCACAUGCUAAAGCUGCCAGCUGAAGAGCUGUUGUGGUCAGCUUUGACCUGCUCCUGCUUUCCAAAACUUUUUUGUCACUUUUACUUAUUGACAGUAACGUUCUGCUCCUGAUUUUCACGUUGCGAAUAUACAAACCUGCAAAUGUAUUUCGCUCCCUUCACGAACCUUUCCAUCUUUCCAUACCUUAACAUCCAGUAUUGAUGAAUACACUGUUCUGUAGAAGGAAAAAAAACAUAACCAUGAAACAUUAUUUCAUAAGACACAAUAUUUUAUAAUAAUUAUUUGCUUGUGGUUUAUUGUGUAGGUUCACUGUAGUCUGCUUCAUUAACUCUGUCUACAUAAAUGUAAAAGCUAGCAUUAAAUUGAAGGGUAAAAAAUUAAAUAAAUGUAAGAAGCAUUAAACACUAGAUAGCAGUCCUUGUUACUGGAUUGCUGAAUAUAAUAAAAAUGUAUGAAGAAUUUUUGUUAAUAAUGUUUAAUAUGUUCCUAUAUUUAUGCAAGCGGGGCUUCUUCUGAAUUUAUGAAAGCAGAAAUCUUUCUAUUUCUUUGAUGUUAGAAAUUUAAUGAAGAAGAUCCAGAUGAACGAAAUUUACAGAACAUUUCUGUUUAUUUAAUGAAGAAAACUAGGAUUAAAAUCUGACUACUUGAUUUACACAAAAGUUGAUUAAAAAAAAAAUAAAACCCAAAGAAAUUCCUGACACCCUGACUGAAUACUUGGUAGCACCACUGCUGGGGAUCUGUUUAUUUCACUUUUGCACAUCUGGAUGCUGAUGUAAAUUCUGCCCUGUUGGAUGGAGGCCAUUUUUAAGUCUUACCUCACAUUUUCAACCAGUCUGCAGUCUGAGCUUUGACUGGGUCAUGUGAACGUUGUUAGAAGACGUUUGUUUUAAACCGUUCCACUUCCCAUGACUUUAUGCUACAACCACCAUGCUUCACUGCUGGGCGACGAACAGGGUCAAGUCGUCACCAAAUGUAACCCUAGGUUAGCUGAGUCUCUGUGUCUUCAUCACGCCUUUUGGUUCUCUAAAAGACAGACCGCAUGUCCGGGGUACGGUGUGUCAUCAUCUGAGAUCUCUCCAGUUCCUUCACGCUUCUUCGUUGCUUCUCUAAUUCUUUACUCAUCAGAUCCCUGAAUUGGUGCACGGCUGCUUGCGGGUGUUCCGAAUUCUAUUAAAAGACAAAGCUUAUGUUUUUGUUCUUGUUGUUGUUGCUAAGCUUUUGUAGUGACACCAUGUGAUUGAAUCACAUGACACAGAUGGUAUUUUGGCCCCAAGGCAAAACCCAGAGAGUAAAGUAAGAUAAAAGUCUUGCUAACUUUAUCUCACUAGUAAUAUUUGAAAAAUAAAAUAUUUACCUUUGUGUGUCAUGAAAUUCUGUGUAUGGUGUAUUCAUGAAAUACAGGUUAUAAGAGUGAUGAAAUGAUGAUCUACUUUCAUUUAAAAGUGGUUCUUUUUUUUUCCGGCUUACUUUUAAAAUGGUUGAAAUGCGCGUCAGUGUCUUUGACGUCUUCUGGGAUUUUUCCAUAUGCUGUAUAUGAGGAGAAAAUUAGCAUUUCAGGAGCCUUGUGUACUUUUGUACAAGUAAAGAAAUGACACCGUGUUCUUUUACAUAAUUCAUUAGACCUUUUUUUUGACUCCUGUUAUUCAGGUUCAUGCUAAACUUUUUGAUGUAAAUAAAUUCCGUUGCCACAGA